GUGCCUAACACAUGCAAGUCGAACGAGAAAGUGGAGCAAUCCAUGAGUACAGUGGCGUACGGGUGAGUAACACGUGACUAACCUACCCUCAAGUGGGGAAUAACUUCGGGAAACCGAGGCUAAUACCGCAUAACAUCUACGGAUCAAAUGCGCAAGCAGCUUGAGGAGGGGGUCGCGGCUGAUUAGCUAGUUGGCGGGGUAACGGCCCACCAAGGCAAUGAUCAGUAGCCGGCCUGAGAGGGCGCACGGCCACACUGGAACUGAAACACGGUCCAG
rnacentral:rRNA from 1 species